GCGGUAAAGAUGCCCUGGAAUGCAGAGCUGUGAUUGGUGGGUCAAGUUCUGACAACCGUGACAGUCGAAUUACUCUGAACUCAAUUUACAACAAACCAACAGGAAACUGCAUUUCCAUUCAUGGUGUACAGUACGUCUUUAUCUGGUGAACAAUCUGUUGUCGUUUCAGGAAUUUCAACAGUUAUCCUGCGUAGACUGUUUACUUCCAUGUUAACAAUGUCGCAGGAAAAACUCGAGUCACUCCAGGGGCUACCAGUUCGCAAGUUAAAGGAAAUGUGUCGAAGUUCCAACAUGAAGAUGUCCGGGACAAAAUACCAACUUCUUAUGCGACUAUGUGGGAUGGAGAAACCAAGAAUGACAAUUAAGGCGGUCAACAAAUGGCUGGAGGAGUAAGGGGUCGCCAACAUUGAAAAUGUUAGCAACUGUCUCAAAGCAGGGAUCCAAGAGCGUUACGUUGACAUCGAAGGUGAAAAUCCACUAGAUAAUGUCAUCGCCGUUGGUGAAUGUGCCCUCUGUCUACAUGCAAUGAAAGCGACCAUACGCGAUAUCCUUUAUCAGCUGGACUAUUCUGGAUUUGACUAUCAGAACGGUGGGAUAAAUGCUCCUUUGAAGUGUCCGAACAAAGAGUGCCAAAUAGGCAUUUACGUGGCUGAUAUUUGCUGUGGUGGAAGCCGUAUGGAUUGUGGCAAAGGACACAAUCACUGCAUUGUUUGUCCAGGCUUCGGCAUGUGUAUUGGGGACUUCCGCGAACGGCACUGUAGAGGGUGCAGAAAUCAUUACUUUGCCGGGUCACUAGAGCAGUUCAAAUGCCCCACCUGCUAUGGCCCACCGUCUGACGAAGAAUGAUGGGACACUUUUUCAUGGCUUAGUUGCAUUUAGAAAAUAAUAUCAAACAUUUCAUUUUAUAUAGCGCAUUUCAGUUGGUUAGUAUUGUAGUUUAAUACACAGAUUGGUCACGAUAUGAGUGUUUAGUGCCACGUUUUGGUAUCAUGCCUUCACUUAAUAGUUACAUUCGGAAAGUUUAUCCAGCAUUAUAUUUUCUUGUUAAUAUUUAGUUGAUUUAAUUUCUGAACGUUUGUUUCGUACAUUUUUAAAAUUGUAUAGUUUAUAGUGUUCUAAUAGUAAACCAUAUGCAUAUGCAUUUACAUGUUACAGUUGCAUUCGAAAAUUUUCAUUAAGUAGAUUUUCUUCUGUUGCAUUUCAGUCCUUUAGAUUUAGGCCUAUUUGAUUACUGUUUUUUGAAAUUAUAUAGUUUUGUCCUUAUAUAGGCUAGAAAUGAGUGUUGAUUGACUGUUGCGGUAUAGUAUGUUCAUAUUAGGCCAUAUUUUGCUACAUUUUGCAAAAUUGUAGGCCUAUUUCUAAUGUUUUGUUUAAUAAAUACUGUAUUUUUUGUA